GACGUAGGGCGCGAGCGUUGUCCGGAUUUAUUGGGCGUAAAGAGCUCGUAGGCGGCUUGUCGCGUCGUUCGUGAAAACCUGCAGCUCAACUGCAGGCUUGCGGUCGAUACGGGCAGGCUCGAGUUCGGUAGGGGAGACUGGAAUUCCUGGUGUAGCGGUGAAAUGCGCAGAUAUCAGGAGGAACACCGGUGGUGCAGACGGCUCUCUGGACCGUAACUGACGCUGAGACACGAAAGCGUGGGUAGCAAACAGG
rnacentral:rRNA from 1 species